rnacentral:rRNA from 1 species
CAGUAGCCGCGGGAAGACAGAGGAUGCAAGCGUUAUCCGGAAUGAUUGGGCGUAAUGCGUCUGUAGGUGGCUUUUCAUGUCCGCCGUCAAAUCCCAGGGCUCAACCCUGGACAGGCAGUGGAAACUACCAAGCUGGAGUACGGUAGGGGCAGAGGGGGAUGGAAUUCCACGUGUAGCGGUGAAAUGCGUAGAGAUGUGGAGGAACACCAGUGGCGAAGGCGACUCUCUGGUCUGUAACUGACGCUGAGGAGCGAAAGCGUGGGGAGCGAACAGGGUUAGAGACCCCUGUAGUCCCUGUCUC